AAAAUCUGUUUUAUGUAUGAGUUUCCAUAUAGAGGCGAAACUCUCCAGUUAAACUUCAACUUCGGCAGCGUGAAAAUGCUGAUCGCUCGGCUGGGACUUUUGUUGGGUAUUCUGGGCUUUGUGGCUGCAAAAUGUCAAGAAAAUGGAGAAACUUGUCAGACGCAUACGGAUUGCUGCUCAGGAAUGUGCUUGACGUACCUAUCUCGCUGUACAACUUGUACAAACUGCAAUUUGCCCGUUCAAUUAGGAUAACAAAAUCCAUCCUGAACUAUUGAAAACGUUUUUAAAAUAAAUAAAGGUUGUAAAUAGAAUAUGCAAAUAUUCAAAAAAGUAAAGUAGCUAUUUUUACUUUAGAAAAUAUAA